rnacentral:rRNA from 1 species
UACGGAGGAUGCGAGCGUUAUCCGGAUUUAUUGGGUUUAAAGGGUGCGUAGGCGGGAUGCCAAGUCAGCGGUAAAAAUUCGGGGCUCAACCCCGUCCGGCCGUUGAAACUGGGGGUCUUGAGUGGGCGAGAAGAAGGCGGAAUGCGUGGUGUAGCGGUGAAAUGCAUAGAUAUCACGCAGAACCCCGAUUGCGAAGGCAGCCUUCCGGCGCCCUACUGACGCUGAGGCACGAAAGUGCGGGGAUCGAACAGG